UAGGGAAUCUUCCGCAAUGGGCGAAAGCUUGACGGAGCAACGCCGCGUGAGUGAUGAAGGUCUUCGGAUCGUAAAACUCUGUUAUUAGGGAAGAACAAAUGUGUAAGUAACUAUGCACGUCUUGACGGUACCUAAUCAGAAAGCCACGGCUAACUACGUGCCAGCAGCCGCGGUAAUACGUAGGUGGCAAGCGUUAUCCGGAAUUAUUGGGCGUAAAGCGCGCGUAGGCGGUUUUUUAAGUCUGAUGUGAAAGCCCACGGCUCAACCGUGGGGGGUCAUUGGAAACUGGAAAACUUGAGUGCAGAAGAGGAAAGUGGAAUUCCAUGUGUAGCGGUGAAAUGCGCAGAGAUAUGGAGGAACACCAGUGGCGAAGGCGACUUUCUGGUCUGUAACUGACGCUGAUGUGCGAAAGCGUGGGGAUCAAACAGG
rnacentral:rRNA from 1 species